rnacentral:rRNA from 1 species
AUUGAACGCUGGCGGCAUGCCUUACACAUGCAAGUCGAACGGCAGCACGGGUGCUUGCACCUGGUGGCGAGUGGCGAACGGGUGAGUAAUACAUCGGAACAUGUCCUGUAGUGGGGGAUAGCCCGGCGAAAGCCGGAUUAAUACCGCAUACGAUCUACGGAUGAAAGCGGGGGACCUUCGGGCCUCGCGCUAUAGGGUUGGCCGAUGGCUGAUUAGCUAGUUGGUGGGGUAAAGGCCUACCAAGGCGACGAUCAGUAGCUGGUCUGAUAGGACGACCAGCAACACUGGGACUGGGACACGGCCCAACAUCCUAGGGGAGGCAGCAGAGGGAAAUUUUGACAAAUGGGCGAAAGCAUAAACCAGCAAUGCCGCGUGUGUGAAGAAGGCUUUCGGGUUGUAAGCACUUUUGUCCGGAAAGAAAUCCUUGGCCCUAAUACGGUUGGGGGAUGACGGUACCGGAAGAAUAAGCACCGGCUAACUACGUG